AAACAAAUUCCUGCCAGUAUACCCCGAAAUAGCCUGGUUGUAGCUGCCAGUAUACCCCGAAAUAGCCUGGUUGUAGUUGCCAGUAUACCCCGCAAUAGCAUGGUUGUAGCUGCCAGUAUACCCUGAAAUAGCCUGGUUGUAGCUUCCAGUAUACCCCGAAAUAGCCUGGUUGUAGCUUCCAGUAUACCCCGAAAUAGCCUGGUUGUAGCUGCCAGUAUACCCCGAAAUAGCCUGGUUGUAGCUGCCAGUAUACCCUGAAAUAGCCUGGUUGUAGCUUCCAGUAUACCCCGAAAUAGCCUGGUUGUAGCUGCCAGUAUACCCCGAAAUAGCCUGGUUGUAGCUGCCAGUAUACUUUGAAAUAGUCUGGUCAUAGCUGACAGUAUAUACCCUUAAUAGCCCGGUUCUAGUUGACAGUUCACUGUGAAAUAGCCCGGUUCUAGUUGACAGUUCUCUGUGAAAUAGCCCGGUUCUAGUUGACAGUUCUCUGUGAAAUAGCCCGGUUCUAGUUGACAGUUAGAUUCGGCACGUACAGUAUAUUAGAGAAACCGUGCUUGUCUGACACUGAAAGAGUAAUGGUAUUUUAUGGUACGCAUACCAAACGUUUUCCCGAUUGAAAUCUCUUGUUAAGUUACGGGUGGGUUUG
rnacentral:lncRNA from 13 species